UGUAGCUGAAUUAGUGAUCGGCUACAUGAAUUUAAACCUUAUAAACAUUGGAGUUUAUUAUGUCACUAAGCGCUACUCAAACAGCUGAAAUCAUCGCAGAAUUCGGCCGUGAUGC
rnacentral:ncRNA from 1 species